ensembl:lncRNA
GAACCAAAGACUUAAACUACUUCAGUCUGUGUGCACUGAAUUUAUUUAAUACGCAAGUUUCACAAUUUGAGUUGAAUUACUGAAAUAAAUGAAUUUUUCCACGACAUUCUAAUUUAUUGAGAUGCAUUUUUUUUUAUUUUAAAUAAGCUGUUAAAGUUAAAAACCUAAAAGUAUCAGCUAUAUAAUAUUGCCAAAUAUUAUUGCAAAGUAUCUUCAAUUAUAAUCUUUACUCUCUUACACAAUGCAUCAUUAAAACAAUUCCCUUUCCCUGUUGUGAAGACCAGGUUAGACCACACUGGUUCAGGAUCAUUUAUGUUGGUUUUGUGCUGCUUUGGCCCUUUUCCCAGCAUAGCCAUCCUGUUUUUCACUAUUUAAAUUUAGCUGAUCAAGCUAAUUGACAGGCAUGGUCAUAAAACUAGCUUAACUAUCAAAUCUUGCUUUGUCAAACCAAGUAACCUAAUGGUAUUCAUGACUUUCAACUCUGUUAACGGUUCUGAAACUUUUUUCUUCAACAAUCAAGUCUUUUGGGCGUGAUUCAUCCACCACUUCGUGUGAUAUACUUCUUUGUGAAGAAGUAUGUAUUGUCAGUAUAUACACUUUAACUUUGUUCCAUAGACAAUACAAGUAAUUAUGAAUUUAUAUGAAGACAUACUUAAGACAUAUUUAAGUAGAACAAAAACGCACUUUAAAGUUCAGCUGCCAGUAACUGAGAUAACAAUUUGCAGCAUACAAUAAAUAUACAAUUAUUUUAAAUAACUGUAUAUUUUUUUCUGAUUUGUGAGUAAUGUUCUGCUGAAAUUUCAAAUGAUCUUUUAAUUCAACAAUUGACUUCUGAGUGUACUUAAUGCAAUGCAAGAAUUGUUUUCAUGACAUUUUUUCAUUCUUUAUUCCUUUAAGAAUUACUAAAAGAAUUGUUUAAAGUAGAAUAAAGGAACCAGAAUCAUGACGUGAAUAGAACCACAAUGAAACACAGCUCCUAGUAAAUGACUUAAAGAAUCCUGGAGGAAAGCACGAGGGAGGGAACAAAAGCAGAUCCAGUGUGAUCUCACGAGUGCUGACUAAUUAAUGGUUAUCUCACCAGUAACAAUGAGCCAUGUGGGCCUGAAUUCACAUGAGCAGGUGGACAAAACCCAACCCUUUAAACUUCCCAUUGUGCUAAUGGGAAUUAUAAAUUAAAUUAAUAAUAUAUUAUAUUAAUAUAUUAAAAGAUGUUGGACAGAAUAUUUCUGCUGCUCUUUUCCAGACAAUGAAAUUGAAUGGUGCUCACUAUAUACCAUGUGACUGAAUUCUAGUUUGCACCAUGUAGUAUCCCCCUCAUUUCUCUUUCACUCACCAUUCUGUCCAGAUGUCCCCCUUCGUCUCCUCCUCCGUCUUCUCCUCCUCUAGUCCAGAAGAACCUGCCCGCCUUAGGGUCAGAGGUGAACCAAAAACAAUGGAUGAUGCAGGCUGAGAAUUGUUGCUGUGGUGAUGUCACUGGUUGCCUAGCAACAGCGGUCUCUGGGCAACCCUCAAUCACAGCCUCAGCGGGAACAUUUUGGAUUAUUUGGGGAUGCCGAGCAGGGGUGUAGGCCAUCAUUUCAGAAGUGAGGAGGACAGAAUAUAUAUAUAUAUAUAUAUAUAUAUAUAUAUAUAUAU